rnacentral:lncRNA from 1 species
CUCACCUUUCACAAUGGUUUCUGUGAAGAUUAGUCAUAAUGUAUGUACAGCGGCUGGCACACAACAAAUGGUGGUUAUAAUUAUCCAUAUCUAAAAAAGAGGGAAGGAAACCAUGAAUAUACCUUUAUAUAACUUCCCACCCGUUUGCCCUCAGAAAGACAUUUCAAGUGGUCUGGAAUCUAGUAUCGGUGGAGGGAUUUCUUACAACUGGACUAUUUGAAGAGGAUUCUUUCAUGAAGAGUGGGCAAAGUGGAAAACAGGGAAAUUUGGACGCAGAUGCACACAGAGGAAAGAUCGUCUGAAGACACAGGGAGA